GACGAACGCUGGCGGCGUGCCUAAUACAUGCAAGUCGAACGCAGUGGGGACGGGUGAGUAACACGUGGGUAACCUCCCAUCAGAGGGGAUAACACUUGGAAACAGGUGCUAAACCGAUACUGAUGGAUGGACCCGCGGUGCAUUAGCUAGUUGGUGAGGUAACGGCUCACCAAGGCCACGAUGCAUAGACGACCUGAGAGCGUGAGCGGCCGAACGGCGACUCAGACACGGCCCAGACUCCUACGGUAGGAAGGAGUGGGGAAGCGUGGACAAUGGACGAAAGUGUGACCGAGCAAUGCCGCGUGAGUGAGGAAGGGUUUCAGGUCGUAAGACUCUGUUGUUAGAUAAGCGGUAUCUAACGAGGAAGCGACGGCUAACUACGUGCCAGCAGCCGCGGUAAUUC
rnacentral:rRNA from 1 species